GUUGUUUUUCCGAAAAUCAAUUGUGCCUGGCUGGAUUUUGUAGGAGUUUGACCUUAUCAGCUUCUUCUGCUUUUUUCCUGUCUGGUGCAAUGCACUUUUCGGUUAACAAGUCAACAUCAAUUUCUUUUGUUGUAAAAGGGUAAUUGGAAGGUGGCUUUCUUUUCGGAGAAAGUGUUUAUAGCCUUUUACCUCUACAAUCGGAGAGAUUGAGGUCUGCAGCGUAGAUCCUUCGGGGUUAGAUACAUUUGUGCUAAGUUAUAGCCCUGUAUAGACAACUUGUUGACUAUACUCGGUCAUGUAGCUUACUCGCUUAUGCUAUUUUACCUAC
rnacentral:rRNA from 1 species